AGUGAACGCUGGCGGUAGGCCUAACACAUGCAAGUCGAACGGCAGCACAGUAAGAGCUUGCUCUUACGGGUGGCGAGUGGCGGACGGGUGAGGAAUACAUCGGAAUCUACUUUUUCGUGGGGGAUAACGUAGGGAAACUUACGCUAAUACCGCAUACGACCUACGGGUGAAAGCAGGGGAUCUUCGGACCUUGCGCGAUUGAAUGAGUCGAUGUCGGCUUAGCUAGUUGGCGGGGUAAAGGCCCACCAAGGCGACGAUCCGUAGCUGGUCUGAGAGGAUGAUCAGCCACACUGGAACUGAGACACGGUCCAGACUCCUACGGGAGGCAGCAGUGGGGAAUAUUGGGCAAUGGGGGCAAGCCUGAUCCAGCAAUACCGCGUGGGUGAAGAAGGCGUUCGGGUUGUAAAGCCCUUUUGUUGGGAAAGAAAAGCAGCAGGUUAAUACCCCGCCGUUCUGACGGUACCCAAAGAAUAAGCACCGGCUAACUUCGUG
rnacentral:rRNA from 1 species